UAUGGGUGAAAGCUCAUAGCGUAGCAAUACGUCGCCGGUAAGGUGCUGCAUGGCUGUCGUCAGCUCGUGCCGUGAGGUGUUGGUUAAGUCCCGCAACGAGCGCAACCCCUAUCUUUAGUUGCCAACAGGUAAUGCUGGGAACUCUAAAGAAACUGCCGCCGUAAGGCGUGAGGAAGGAGGGGAUGAUGUCAAGUCAUCAUGGCCUUUAUGCCCCAGGGCUACACACGUGCUACAAUGGGGCGUACAAAGGGCUGCAACAUGGCAACAUGAAGCUAAUCCCAAAAAACGUCUCUCAGUUCAGAUCGUAGUCUGCAACUCGACUACGUGAAGCUGGAAUCGCUAGUAAUCGUAUAUCAGCAAUGAUACGGUGAAUACGUUCCCGGACCUUGCACACACCGCCCCGUCAAGCCAUGGAAGCCGGGUGUACCUAAAGUCGGUAACCGAAAGGAGCUGCCUAGGGUAAAAAUCGGUAACUGGGGUG
rnacentral:rRNA from 1 species